rnacentral:lncRNA from 1 species
ACACUAGCAGCCGCGGCAGGCGGGGCCCUUGGAGCUCUACCGCGCCAGGCUCCUUCCCGGCGGCCCAGGGCCGCGGCCCUCCGCAGGCGGCGCACGCGGGGCGCGGGGAGCCGCGAGGCCCAGCCUGGGGGGCGCCCUCUGCCCCGCGCCCCGCGCCCCGCGCUCGCCCGUCGGCCGCUUCCCGGCGCGCUUCCCCGGGGGAGGGCUCCCCGCCGGCUCCCGCUCAGCGGCGGCCGCCCGGUGCGGCGCUCCCCAAGGUCGCGGGGUCCCCGCGGUCCCCCUCGCCGCGCCCCGGCCCGCCCCCGCCCCCGCCGCCCUCCUGCGGCUCCGCGCGGUGGCCGGGGCUCCCGGGGCUCCCGGGGCUCCCGGGGCGGGAGGAGCGGGCCGAGCGCGGGCCGGCGCGGCCUCCGGGGGCCCACCUGGCUGCGGGGCCGGCGACUCACCUGGCGGGCGGGCGCCGUCGCGCGGACUGGCCGCGCUGCAGCCGGGAGGGAGGCCGCGUCCCCGACGGCGGCGGGCGCAGGUCCCUCCCGGGCGGCCCGAGGGCGGCGGCGGCGGCGGCGGCGGCGGCGGCGGCCGGGCUGCGAGGGGACCCGGGGCCGCGCGUCCGCGCACGCGGCUCUGCUCGCUCCUCGCCGCCUCCUCGCCGCGGGGCCCGGAUCCGCCCGCCGCGCGCUCGAGCCCCCGGGGGCGCGGGGCGCGGGGCGCGGGGCCGCGGAGCGCGUGGGGUGCGGUCGCCCGCGCCGAGGGCCGCCCUCCCUGCGCCCGGGCCGCGCGGGCUCUGCGGAGCGGAACGCACCGAGCGGGGCGGAGCGCGGCGCGCACGGUUCCCUCGCUUCCCGAGAGGCCGCCCUGGCGGCGGGGCGCCGUGACGCAGGCCUGACUCACGCGCGGGCCGCGUCAGUGCGAGGCUCCGGGGCCGCAAGCGAGGCUCUGAUGGCCGACGACGCAGGCUGCGGGGGGGGGGGGGGGGGGGGGGGAGGGGGGCCCCGAGAAGGACAGGGAGGGGGGCAGGGAGAGGAAGGGGGGGCAGGGAGAGGGGGGGCGGGGAGAGGGGCUAACCCCGAGCGGCCCCCCGAGGCCCCCGCGGGACCCAAACCCUGGGGCAGCACCACCAGGGCUCCCAUCCUCAGAGAGGAAGGCGCCCCGAUGGCCAAAGGCCUUAUUUCUUGGCGUUUCCAGGAGCAGCUCCGUGGCCUUCCUCCGCGAACUCUGCCCCAGCCAAGGCCGUAG